rnacentral:rRNA from 1 species
UAAAAACCCCGACUUCGGAAGGGGUGUAUUUAUUAGAUACAAAACCAAUGCCCUUCGGGGCUCUUUGGUGAUUCAUGAUAACUAUACGAAUCGCACGGCCUUGCGCCGGCGAUGGUUCAUUCAAAUUUCUUCCCUAUCAACUUUCGAUGUUUGGGUAUUGGCCAAACAUGGUUGCAACGGGUAACGGAGGGUUAGGGCUCGACCCCGGAGAAGGAGCCUGAGAAACGGCUACUACAUCCAAGGAAGACGGCAGGCGCGCAAAUUACCCAAUCCCGACUCGGGGAGGUAGUGACAAUAAAUACUGAUACAGGGCCCUUUCGGGCCUUGUAAUUGGAAUGAGUACAAUUUAAAUCCCUUAACGAGGAACAAUUGGAGGGCAAGUCUGGUGCCAGCAGCCGCGGUAAUUCCAGCUCCAAUAGCGUAUAUUAAAGUUGUUGUGGUUAAAAAGCUCGUAGUUGAACCUUGGGCCUGGCUGGCCGGUCCGCCUCACCGCGUGCACUGGUCCGGCCGGGCCUUUCCCUCUGUGGAACCCCAUACCCUUCACUGGGCGUGGCGGGGAAACAGGACAUUUACUUU